CCCUGCAAAAAAAAAAAAGAUAACUUUUUGAUCAUCAGUAUUUCUGUGGAAUCUUCUGUUUGUUAACAUUCCAACUUAGACCAAAUCUAGAGCCAUCUUAAUGGAAAUCCCCCCCACUUUUUCUUGCCAAUUUAUUUGCUCCCUGGAGCUCAUGUCCACGGAGAGAGAUUCUACUACAUGGGAGUAAUUGAAGCAUAUUUUGGAAGCGCAGACCUUUCUGAUAACAUCGUGUAAAAGCUGUGCCUCUACUUGGAAUGCACGCUGGGAAGAAAGCUGGGUAACAACAGCAGUAGCAGUUGAAAACCAGGACCAUUUCUUUGAGAUGCGGCCUCUAAGCCUCUACGACAGAUAUUAAAUAGUAAUGGACCUUGCCAAGGAUUUGACAUUUCCGUCCACCUGCUUCUGCACAUUCUAUCUAAGAAUUCUAAGAAAUGUAGCUUUCAAAUCAGUGACUAAAGACAACUGGCUUUAUGCUCUGUUCUCGGGUGAUUACACUGUGAUCUUGCAGCUUAAGGAACAUGUUGACUCAAAGUGUGUGAUCUGGAAGGAUGAUGAUACAAAGAUCAAGAGUUAGCAGUGUAUAUUUAACACCGUCCAGAGAAGAAUGACCUUGAGUCAAACAGGUAAGAAUAUUCUGUUCACUCAAGAGGUAUUCUAUACUGUGGGAUAACUACAGUUAAUUGUGAGUGAAACAUCCCUGAAAACUAUC